rnacentral:rRNA from 1 species
ACCACGCGUGCCCAUCCCGAACACGACCGUUAAGCCCUCCAGCGCCGAGGGUACUGGGACCGCCGGGUCCCGGGAGAGUAGGUCGCUGCCGGGC